GAUGAACGCUGGCGGCGUGCCUAAUACAUGCAAGUCGAGCGAACAGACGAGGAGCUUGCUCCUCUGACGUUAGCGGCGGACGGGUGUGUAACACGUGGAUAACCUACCUAUAAGACUGGGAUAACUUCGGGAAACCGGCGCUAAUACCGGAUAAUAUAUUGAACCGCAUGGUUCAAUAGUGAAAGACGGUUUUGCUGUCACUUAUAGAUGGAUCCGCGCCGCAUUAGCUAGUUGGGAAGGUAACGGCUUACCAAGGCAACGAUGCGUAGCCGACCUGAGAGGGUGAUCGGCCACACUGGAACUGAGACACGGUCCAGACUCCUACGGGAGGCAGCAGUAGGGAAUCUUCCGCAAUGGGCGAAAGCCUGACGGAGCAACGCCGCGUGAGUGAUGAAGGUCUUCGGAUCGUAAAACUCUGUUAUUAGGGAAGAACAAAUGUGUAAGUAACUAUGCACGUCUUGACGGUACCUAAUCAGAAAGCCACGGCUAACUACGUG
rnacentral:rRNA from 1 species